CACCUUCCAGGAUGAAGGAAUCCUACUGCCUCAAAAGAACUUCCUGGUCAACUAGUGCCUGCAGCUCUGGUUCAGAAUGAGGGAGUCUGGGAAAUCUCUGAGUAAAGAACGGAAACGAGUGAAGACAGAGAUGCCCAUGAUGAAAGGACUGGACAGAACAAGAGUCAUCUAGUCAUGUAUCAAUCCUUGGGCAGAGCACAGGAAUAGACAACAUGCUUGUUCCAUCAGUGUGAUCUUAUGGAAUUAUGUGUGUGGUCUAUCCUUGACCAUUGUUACCUGGCAGUGACUGCCCUUCAUAUUAUCAAAUAUGAACAAAUCAAAUUCUGUCCAUCCAGUAAUGGACUUGGGUAUCUGAUGUGUCGAUUAUGAAGACUGUUAAAGACAACAUAACUGGUGACAGUUUUCAGCAUGGUAUCGAAUGGCACUGGUUCCAGAAGCGAUGAACAAUUAUUGCUAGAGGAGGAGACUGACCAGCUGGGCUGCCCGAGGAAGUGGAGCUACCAAGAGGAGACUUGAGAUUCCUGCAAACAGUGCAGAGAGCUCCAGGGUUGCAGCUUUCAUGAGUCCUCAUGCAUGCAGGGGUGCACCUCUGAUGAUGCAGCUGUCUUUGAGUUAUCCUGGGGUUUUUUGUUUGUUUGUUUGUUUGUUUGUUUUCCGAGACAGGAUUUCUCUGUGUAGUUUUGGUGCCUGUCCUGGAUCUUGCUCUGUAGACCAGGCUGGCCCUAAACUCACAAAGAUCCACUUGGUUCUGCUUCCCGAGUGCUGGGAUCAAAGGCCUGUGCCACCACUGCCUGGCUAUCCUGCCUUUUGUAAGUAACUUCUCAUCCAUAUUCCUGUAAGGAACCUCAAUAAAUGCAUUGGUUCACCAAAUUGGACUUUGGUGUUGGUGUAAUGUUUAUUUUGAUCUGUGGCUUCCUGUAUUCCCUUUAUGGAGGGUAUCCUGUCUCUCCAGGAAAAGUCUCUCACAACAAUGGUGAGAAGCAGUCAGAGUCUGGAUGUAUUUUGAGAUUAUAUAUGAGGGAAUAGAUGUAAUAUAUGUGCAAAGAGAUUGUCAUCCAGACUGACACCAAGAUUCUAACCUGAGAGCUGGAAUGAGGGAAUACCUGUCACUGAGAUGUGGAAUGUGAAUAGAGUAAGCUUAGAAUUAGAGGAAUGUCAACAAUCCAAAAAUUACUGUGUCAUUUUGGGGUAGACAUUGCUCAUUAUUGAUCAAUUAUUCAUCACCUCCUUCCCCCCAGACAGAUCUUGAUCUACUUAGUGAAGUGUGAUCCUAAUUAGUCUUAUCAAUAAAAACCAGGAGUCAGAUAUCAGAAUAAAAGCUGAAAGA